rnacentral:rRNA from 1 species
AUUGAACGCUGGCGGCAGGCCUAACACAUGCAAGUCGAGCGGAGCGGGGGACGGGUGAGGAAGGCCUAGGAAUCUGCCUGGUAGUGGGGGAUAACGUCCGGAAACGGGAGCUAAUACAGCAUACUAUCAGAUGAGCCUAGGUCGGAUUAGCUAGUUGGUGGGGUAAAGGCCUACCAAGGCGACGAUCCGUAACUGGUCUGAGAGGAUGAUCAGUCACACUGGAACUGAGACACGGUCCAGACUCCUACGGGAGGCAGCAGUGGGGAAUAUUGGACAAUGGGCGAAAGCCUGAUCCAGCCAUGCCGCGUGUGUGAAGAAGGUCUUCGGAUUGUAAAGCACUUUCAGUUGGGAGGCGUUACCCACAGAAUAAGCACCGGCUAACUUCGUGCCAGCAGCCGCGGUAAUUC